UACGUAGGGUGCGAGCGUUAAUCGGAAUUACUGGGCGUAAAGCGUGCGCAGGCGGUUGUGCAAGACAGAUGUGAAAUCCCCGGGCUUAACCUGGGAACUGCAUUUGUGACUGCACGGCUAGAGUGUGUCAGAGGGGGGUAGAAUUCCACGUGUAGCAGUGAAAUGCGUAGAUAUGUGGAGGAAUACCGAUGGCGAAGGCAGUCCCCUGGGAUAACACUGACGCUCAUGCACGAAAGCGUGGGGAGCAAACAGG
rnacentral:rRNA from 1 species